CCAGGUUCAGCAGGAUCUGGUCUCUGAUGGGUCCUCAAUCUUCUUCUUAACGUUUCUAUUUCCCUUUCCAUCUCAGUUCUCUCCUUCUGCCAUUCAAGUCUCUCCAUCACGCCUCUCU